UGCCUUUGUGUUGCCCAGUCACUUUCCAGACUAGAGGAUGUGGUGUCAAAAAAAGGUGUAAAAUAAAUGCUUUGCAGCCUUUUCCUGCCCUUAGAUUUGAUAUCAUUGACGUAGGAGCUGCAUAAGUAGCAGUU